GGCUCUGUAGCAAAGCGGUUAAUGCGUCAGUCUUGUAAACUGAAGGUCCUGGGUUCGAAUCCCAGCAGAGCCUCCA
rnacentral:tRNA from 1 species